rnacentral:misc_RNA from 1 species
GAUGAAGAACGUAGCAAAAUGCGAUACUUGGUGUGAAUUGCAGAAUCCCGUGAACCAUCGAGUUUUUGAACGCAAGUUGCGCCCGAAGCCUUUUGGCCGAGGGCACGUCUGCCUGGGCGUCACGCAUCGCGUCACCCCCACAAUUCUCCGUAAAGGGAACGUGUGUUUUGGGGGCGGAUAUUGGUCUCCCGUGCUCAUGGCGUGGUUGGCCGAAAUAGGAGUCCUUUCGAUGGACGCACGAACUAGUGGUGGUCGUAAAAACCCUCGUCUUUUGUUUCGUGCUGUUGCUCGCAAGGUAAACUCUUUAAAAACCCCAAUGUGUCGUCUCUUGACGACGCUUCGACCGCGACCCCAGGUCAGGCGGGACUACCCGCUGAGUUUAAGCAUAUCAAUAAGCGGAGGA